AUGGAGCAAGAGGACCCUUCUCUCUCCCACCGCAUGCAUAGUAUCCGGAGCAUAAACCAGGACCCUGCUGGACUUCAUGAUGAGCCUGUCCAGCCUCUCAGUGAUGCUGCUGCAUUGUCAAAACAUCAAAGAAUAGAUGACUCCAUUCCUGGACCGGGAAGUUUCCAACCUGUUCUCCUCUUCCAACCCCCCACCUCUCCACUCACCACAACUGGCCAUGGCAGAUGACUAUUCAACAGGAGUCUUGUUCUGAUUGCGGCCCCUUCCAUUAAACAGCUACAACUGCAGCUUUGUGCUCCUACUGUGAUCCUUCCUGUAGAUUUGCUUUUGAGAACAUUUGUCGUAAUUUUGUUAACCUAUUACCGUAAGGGACCAAAGAGUGUGUGGAUAAAUCAUUCAACUUUUGGUCAGACAUUAAGGUCAAUACUAAUGAGAGAGUUUAGUUCACUUUAAAGCUUUUCUUCUUGAUGGUUUGCACAUCUGGUGGGUUUGAAUUACACAUGGUUCACCAGGAAAUAUUUUGGUCCUGUUAGUAAAGCCACACAACUGUUCUAGUGCAGUGUA
rnacentral:lncRNA from 1 species